rnacentral:rRNA from 1 species
UACAGAGGGUGCGAGCGUUGUCCGGAAUCACUGGGCGUAAAGGGCGCGUAGGCGGCCUGGUAAGUAGGGGGUGAAAUCUUGCGGCUCAACUGCAAGGCUGCCUCCUAAACUGCCGGGCUGGAGCACGGUAGAGGCAGAUGGAAUUCCCGGUGUAGCGGUGGAAUGCGUAGAGAUCGGGAAGAACAUCGGUGGCGAAGGCGGUCUGCUGGGCCGUUGCUGACGCUGGAGGCGCGACAGCGUGGGGAGCAAACAGG